rnacentral:tRNA from 1 species
AUAUAGUUCAGUGGCGAAAGCCCCUGCUUGGCAAGCAAAAGGUCCUGAGUUCAAUUCUCAGUAU